CAGUGGGGAAUAUUGGGCAAUGGAGGAAACUCUGACCCAGCGACGCCGCGUGCGGGAUGAAGGCCUUCGGGUUGUAAACCGCUUUCAGUAGGGAAGAAGCGAAAGUGACGGUACCUACAAAAGAAGCACCGGCUAACUAUGUGCCAGCAGCCGCGGUAAUACAUAGGGUGCAAGCGUUGUCCGGAAUUAUUGGGCGUAAAGAGCUCGUAGGUCGUUUGUUACGUCGGAUGUGAAAACCUGAGGCUCAACCUCAGGCCUGCAUUCGAUACGGGCAAACUAGAGUUUGGUAGGGGAGACUGGAAUUCCUGGUGUAGCGGUGGAAUGCGCAGAUAUCAGGAGGAACACCAAUGGCGAAGGCAGGUCUCUGGGCCAAUACUGACACUGAGGAGCGAAAGUCUGGGGAGCGAA
rnacentral:rRNA from 5 species